rnacentral:rRNA from 1 species
UUGACCUCGGAUCAGGUAGGGAUACCCGCUGAACUUAAGCAUAUCAAUAAGCGGAGGAAAAGAAACCAACAGGGAUUGCCCUAGUAACGGCGAGUGAAGCGGCAACAGCUCAAAUUUGAAAUCUGGCUCUUUUAGAGUCCGAGUUGUAAUUUGCAGAGGGCGCUUUGGCUUUGGCAGCGGUCCAAGUUCCUUGGAACAGGACGUCACAGAGGGUGAGAAUCCCGUACGUGGUCGCUGGCUAUUGCCGUGUAAAGCCCCUUCGACGAGUCGAGUUGUUUGGGAAUGCAGCUCUAAAUGGGAGGUACAUUUCUUCUAAAGCUAAAUAUUGGCCAGAGACCGAUAGCGCACAAGUAGAGUGAUCGAAAGAUGAAAAGCACUUUGGAAAGAGAGUCAAACAGCACGUGAAAUUGUUGAAAGGGAAGCGCUUGCAGCCAGACUUGCUUGCAGUUGCUCAUCCGGGCUUUUGCCCGGUGCACUCUUCUGCAGGCAGGCCAGCAUCAGUUUGGGCGGUAGGAUAAAGGUCUCUGUCACGUACCUCUCUUCGGGGAGGCCUUAUAGGGGAGACGACAUACUACCAGCCUGGACUGAGGUCCGCGCAUCUGCU